UGGGGAAUAUUGGACAAUGGGCGAAAGCCUGAUCCAGCCAUGCCGCGUGUGUGAAGAAGGUCUUCGGAUUGUAAAGCACUUUAAGUUGGGAGGAAGGGCAUUAACCUAAUACGUUAGUGUUUUGACGUUACCGACAGAAUAAGCACCGGCUAACUCUGUGCCAGCAGCCGCGGGAAUACAGAGGGUGCAAGCGUUACUCGGAAUUACUGGGCGUAAAGCGCGCGUAGGUGGUUUGUUAAGUUGGAUGUGAAAUCCCCGGGCUCAACCUGGGAACUGCAUUCAAAACUGACUGACUAGAGUAUGGUAGAGGGUGGUGGAAUUUCCUGUGUAGCGGUGAAAUGCGUAGAUAUAGGAAGGAACACCAGUGGCGAAGGCGACCACCUGGACUAAUACUGACACUGAGGUGCGAAAGCGUGGGGAGCAAACA
rnacentral:rRNA from 1 species